UCCCACAUCGCUUAGGAUCAACAUUAAGGCAUUCUAUAUUUAGAGCACGGCGGAAGCAGGAGUUCGUCCCUUCGGGGACAUCCGAUAAAAUUGGAACGAUACAGAGAAGAUUAGCAUGGCCCCUGCGCAAGGAUGACACGCACAAAUCGAGAAAUGGUCCAAAUUUUUUUUUUCCCUGCCCCUCCUACGAUGGAUCUGUACUCGGAGGAUUUCUAUUUCAUCUUCCCUAUUCGAAUCCCUGUUUUUCGCUUUCCUUCGAUUUGGCAUCUGAAUUGAGCUGCAAAUGGAUCCAGCAGACAGUUUCUUGAAUUUAUUAGUUGCCAGUUCAAUCACAAAACCCUAAUUUGUGCGAAAAUCGUGAGGUUUGUGCUAUUUUUUAGAUUUUCCUGUUUGCUGAGCUCUGUAACUAGAAAUUCUGCAUCUGUAAACCCUAAUUUGGAUGUUUCCUUAGGGAAAAGAAACUGGAAUCGAAUUCCAAUACCUCACCGAUCAAUCCCGAUGCCUAAAGGCCAAGACCUUGAUACAUAGCCACCUGAUUCAUUCAAAGGGCUAUGUAGUUUCGCUCGAGUUCUUGAUCUUCUCUUAGAACUGCAGAAUUAAUUCUGAGGAGUAUGUUAGAUUCGUGCUCUAUUGAGUUUCCUUCGAAGUUCUUUGAAUCCUUACUGUACUCCUAGACUUUGGUUCUUCCCCAAAUGUUUUUGAUCUGUUUUUUGAGACUUCUGCUCAUUUGGAGAAGUUUAGAAAUGGCUCUGAUACAUUUUUGAAGAUGAAGGAUUAUGGAUUUUGGGAUUCCUUGCUUAAUUUCCUUUCUGAGCUCCUUGCUUAGAAUUUCAAUGGCGAAAAAUGUGUUUCCCCCUGAUCUUGGGAUUAUUCAAAAGAGGAAGACAAAGAAACCAGCAUUUCUGGUUACAGAGCUUGAGACAACGAUGAACUAAUACCAACUCAAAAAUCUCCCGUACCUUUGAUCCAUCGAGCGAGAGCCCUUCCACACGGAACUCUCGAAUCACUAUGGGCAACGGAGAGCCCUUCCACACAGAACUCCUGGAUCACUCUGAGUGACUAGAGUUUUCAGUUAAGGAUUAUACAUCUUAUGUUAGCUCUAAAGGAUUAUUGGCUUGAUUACUUGCAACCCUUCAUCACCUCCUUCGAACGGUCGUGGGCUCGCUUUCGCUGUAUGAGACUGGAUGACUUCUGGGUUGGUAAUGCUCUUUCUUCUUCUUCUUCUUCAGAAACUAUUUCUUUACAUUGGAUAGAUCAAUGGCUACUGAACAUCUCGAAACGAAACCAAUCGGUUCGGUUGAACAUCGAUUUUCAAGUCGAUUGGUUCAGUUGGUCGUCCAUCUUUAGAAAAACCAUUGCUGUUGUUGUUCUGUUAUCAGUUUAAAUCAAAAAUCUUGUUGUCUUGGUAGAUUCCUAUUGAUUGAUUACUGUUUUGGCUGUAUUACAUAUCUAAGCUGAAGAAUUAAAGAGUUCUUCAAAUGAUGUGAAAAGUUAAAGAUUUCUUGUCCUCGUACCAUAUCUAAGCUGAAGAACUAGAACCCAUUUUUUGUAGAAGAGAGAAAAGAGUUGGGGGAAGUUCAUUCGUUAUGCUCAUCUGUUAUAAUGGCUGCUAGCUCCCAUAUUCUAAGCAUUAGAACUAUAAAUCUCCUCUGUAACAAUGGAAUCAUUGUCUGAUAGAAAUAUUGCCAAAUAAUACCUGCAGAGAAAACAGUGAAAUCAAAACAUAAAUUUGGAAGAAGCUUUGCACGAAGAUAUGUCUAUUUUAUCGGCGGGACCUCUCUCGAACGCAGAGAAGAUUCCCUAUUUAGACAGAGAAUGUGAGAUGGAGUGUAGAACAAUUUUUCUCCGCUAGAUACCUACCUAUUUAGAC